GAUGAACGCUGGCGGCGUGCUUAACACAUGCAAGUCGAACGGUGAAGCCAAGCUUGCUUGGUGGAUCAGUGGCGAACGGGUGAGUAACACGUGAGCAACCUGCCCUGGACUCUGGGAUAAGCGCUGGAAACGGCGUCUAAUACUGGAUAUGAGCCCCUAUCGCAUGGUGGGGGUUGGAAAGAUUUUUUGGUCUGGGAUGGGCUCGCGGCCUAUCAGCUUGUUGGUGAGGUAAUGGCUCACCAAGGCGUCGACGGGUAGCCGGCCUGAGAGGGUGACCGGCCACACUGGGACUGAGACACGGCCCAGACUCCUACGGGAGGCAGCAGUGGGGAAUAUUGCACAAUGGGCGAAAGCCUGAUGCAGCAACGCCGCGUGAGGGAUGACGGCCUUCGGGUUGUAAACCUCUUUUAGCAGGGAAGAAGCGAAAGUGACGGUACCUGCAGAAAAAGCGCCGGCUAACUACGUGC
rnacentral:rRNA from 1 species